rnacentral:rRNA from 1 species
GUUGCUAGGGGAUAACCUUGCGAAAGCAAGACUAAUACCCUAUGAAGUUCUUCGCAGGCAUCUAAAGAGAACCAAAGAUUUAUCGGCAACGGAUGGGGAUGCGUCUGAUUAGGUUGUUGGCGGGGUAACGGCCCACCAAGCCUACGAUCAGUAGGGGUUCUGAGAGGAAGGUCCCCCACAUUGGAACUGAGACACGGUCCAAACUCCUACGGGAGGCAGCAGUGAGGAAUAUUGGUCAAUGGACGGAAGUCUGAACCAGCCAAGUAGCGUGCAGGACGACGGCCCUAUGGGUUGUAAACUGCUUUUAUGUGGGAAUAAAGUGAGGGACGUGUCCCUUUUUGUAGGUACCACAUGAAUAAGGACCGGCUAAUUCCGUGCCAGCAGCCGCGGUAAUACGGAAGGUCCGGGCGUUAUCCGGAUUUAUUGGGUUUAAAGGGAGCGUAGGCCGUCUUUUAAGCGUGUUGUGAAAUACUGUCGCUCAACGACAGAGGUGCAGCGCGAACUGGGAGACUUGAGUGCGCGGAAUGCAGGCGGAAUUCGUCGUGUAGCGGUGAAAUGCUUAGAUAUGACGAAGAACUCCGAUUGCGAAGGCAGCUUGCAGUAGCGUAACUGACGCUGAAGCUCGAAAGUGUCGGGGUUGUACCGGAUAAGAUG